rnacentral:rRNA from 1 species
AGCAGCCGCGGUAAUUCCAGCUCCAAUAGCGUAUAUUAAAGUUGUUGCAGUUAAAAAGCUCGUAGUUGAAUUUCGGGGUUUAUCCGUUGGUCGGGCUUUUGGGUCUGUACUGGCGUGAUGGAUUCCUACCUUCUGAAUAACUAGCAUGUCAUUAAUUUGGUGCGUUGGGGAAGCAGGACUGUUACCUUGAAAAAAUUAGAGUGCUUAAAGCAGGCUAUUGCCUGAAUACAUUAGCAUGGAAUAAUGAAAUAGGACGCAUGGUUCUAUUUUGUUGGUUUCUAGGAUCACCGUAAUGAUUAAUAGGGAUAGUUGGGGGCAUUAGUAUUCAAUUGUCAGAGGUGAAAUUCUUGGAUUUAUUGAAGACUAACUACUGCGAAAGCAUUUGUCAAGGAUGUUUUCAUUAAUCAAGAACGAAAGUUAGGGGAUCGAAGACGAUCAGAUACCGUCGUAGUCUUAACCAUAAACUAUGCCGACUAGGGAUCGGAUGAUGUUAAUUUUUAAUGACUCAUUCGGCGUCCG